GAUGAACGCUAGCGGCAGGCCUAAUACAUGCAAGUCGGACGGGAUUUGGGAGCUUGCUCCUGAUGAGAGUGGCGCACGGGUGCGUAACACGUAUGUAACCUACCUUAAUCUGGGGGAUAGCCUCUCGAAAGAGAGAUUAACACCGCAUAAAAUUAUUUAGUAGCAUUAUUGAAUAAUCAAAUAUUUAUAGGAUUGAGAUGGGCAUGACGGAACAUUAGCUAGUUGGUAAGGUAACGGCUUACCAAGGCUACGAUGUUAGGGAUCUGAGAGGAUCGACCCCCCANACUGGUACUGAGACACGGACCA
rnacentral:rRNA from 1 species